GGAUUGUGGCUUAGUGGUAGAGUGCUUGCCUAGCAUGCAUUGAGGUACUGGGUUCAAUCCCCAGCACCA
rnacentral:tRNA from 1 species